CACACAACCAUUUCGUAGUGAGUAGGCAUUGCAUUUGUAGAUAAAUUUAUUUGGUGAAAACAAUUUGUUUUGCAUUUAUUGAUUAAUUUUAAUGUAAAAAAAGUUAUUCGCUGUGUUUUGCAAAAAUUAAUUGGUAAUAUUUUAAAAAUGCCUUAUAAAUAUAAAAAAAGUGUUAGAAGAGAAGCAAAAGAGGUAGUUGAACUUCUUUUUAGUGAUAAUCAACACAAAAAAAUUGUAUCAAAAGAACGGUCGGAAACUAGUGAAAUAAAUAGCGACCCAGUUCCUGUGCAAUGUGAAAAUGAAAGUGAGAGUGAAAAUGAAAGCGACGAAGCUCCAACUAUGUCUCCAAUUGAAAAACUUAAUAUUCAAGAUGAGUUGGCUAAGUGGAGUGUGAAACAUUUAAUUUCGAACUCUGCAGUGAAUGAACUUUUAACAAUUAUGAGGAGGAUGAUACCAAGCCUACCAAAAGAUGCUAGAUCAUUAAAAAAACCCCUAGAGAUGCUCCAGUUAUGUCAAUUGCAGGAGGUGAAUAUGUGCACUAUGGACUGGAGGAUUGCUUGACCGAUUUUUUUUCAAACGCUAAAUACGAAGGUGACACUAUUGAAUUAAAUUUUAAUAUUGACGGUCUUCCAAUUGCAAAAAGUUCAUUGAGUCGUUUCUGGAAUUUGAAAAAGGUCUCCAAGAAAUAAACGAAGCAUUUAUUUCUCUUGAAAGCGAACUGAAACUUGUUGCCAAGGCACCAAAUUUCGUAAAGAAUUGCUGGAAAAAAAUAAUAACAGAUGAAUUGGGAGAACGACUCUGCUGGAAAGGGACGGAGACAAAGAGAAGUGUUCGCAACUUUAGUACAACAAAAGCAAUACGAAAUGCAACUUUAUCAUUGGGCUACACGGAGGACACAUUCAUUAAGGACACGCGCACUUUCUUUCAAUUCGCUAAAAAUCGCAUAAAGCUGCGAAACGAUUACAAAAACAAAAAAAAAUGUAAAUUAAAAAAAAAAACAUAGUAAUAUUAUAACUU